GUGGAUUUGACCAGGGUUGGACAAGCUUCAGGCACACCCAAAAUACACACUGCUGAUAAUUCCGUCCACGUGUUUUGGUGAUAAAAUGUAAAUUUUUCACCAUCAUCAACACAUAACCUGCUUCCACUGUUUCCCAGAGGAGGAAGUGUUUUCUCAGCAUGGUGUGUGUGCGUGUCUGAUAAAGAGUGUGAUAGCAGUAAAAGUGUAGUAUAGUCUUGGUGUGUGCACAUGAAUGUGUGUUGGUCACAUGAGGACCAUCUAUCUCUAUCACACAGACCCACCCAGGCCUGCCAUGGCUAAUAAGAGCAGCUCUCUCUUUUUGGCCCUCUCUCCUUCUCUCAAAGAGAGAGAGAAAAAGUGAACACUUUGACAAGCCCUCUCUCCCUCCCUCCCUCCCUCCCUCUAUGGAAGUAGUCUGGAGGAGGAUGAAAGGUCAGAGUCAGAAAAGGUUUUAAGACAAACAUUUAUGGUGCUCAAUAGGUCUUCACACAUGUAUCCCUACUCACACUGGCUCCUAAAGGAUAAUUCCAGUGUGGCUAAAUCUAUGAAAUUAAGCCUAGUUAAAUCAAAUUACCUACAUCAUCAAAUAGCAUCUAAUUUCUUUAACAAUCACUCCAUGUAGUCUUCCACAAUGUGCCUAGUUGUGACUUCUCUGCCCUAUCAAUGUGAGUGCAUAAUCUGUCAGUUCACCCUGCCUCUCCACUGUGGUCCUCAUGUAUUUUUUCUUAUAAUUUUGAGCUGAGAAUAGCAGCCAGCAGUCACAACUGUCACAGGAACUGACUGAAGUCCCCUCUGGAAGGUCCCCCAUGAGCGUUUAGCUAGACCCAGAGGUGUUUUCAAUAUGGGUCACUUAGUGUGCUUUUCACUUGGUGCAUUAAAUCAGUGAUUAAUUAAGGGUAUUUUCAAAAACCUAUGCUGAGGUGUAAUAGUGCUACCCUCAACCACAACCCAUCAAAUAUCAAUUUUUUUGUAUUGAUCACAAAUUAAAAUGACUGCAAAUAUUUUAGACACAGAAACUGUUUUUCCAGACUAGUAGAUCCAGACAGUUUCUGCUUUGGGUAGAAAACUUGACAAAACUACAAAGUCUCUAUUUUGUGAGUAAACCCAACUUUGAAUCACUCCUCAGUGGUGCUCAGGUAAUAGCUGGGUGAGUCUCAUUUUGCCAUGUGUGUUGAAGAAAGCCGCCGAUCACCUGCACAGCAGCGUGGGUGACAGCAAUGUCAUUGUACCUCUGUUCCAGUGUGUUCCUCUGUUCAGGGUAAAAAAUGAGGUGUCACAGUCAAUUGGCCCACGCUUUUCACAAUACAGCGCAGACCACACUCUGGCUUACUCGCCGCUGAGGUGAGUACAGGAUUCCCAAGUGUACGCCUGAGUUCUUCACUUCCUGGAUCUUCAGCCAAACUUCUCUGGAACCUGGACCUCACCAGCUUCUACCUGCCUGUCCCCUGCUCAAACCAAGCCGUACCUGCCUUCACCAUCGCUGCACAUUUUUGUAAUAAAGUCUGUUAACCUUA